rnacentral:rRNA from 1 species
AUUGAACGUUGGCGGCAGGCCUAACACAUGCAAGUCGAACGGUAACAGGAAGCAGCUUGCUGCUUCGCUGACGAGUGGCGGACGGGUGAGUAAUGUCUGGGAAGCUGCCUGAUGGAGGGGGAUAACUACUGGAAACGGUAGCUAAUACCGCAUAAUGUCGCAAGACCAAAGAGGGGGACCUUCGGGCCUCUUGCCAUCGGAUGUGCCCAGAUGGGAUUAGCUUGUUGGUGGGGUAACGGCUCACCAAGGCGACGAUCCCUAGCUGGUCUGAGAGGAUGACCAGCCACACUGGAACUGAGACACGGUCCAGACUCCUACGGGAGGCAGCAGUGGGGAAUAUUGCACAAUGGGCGCAAGCCUGAUGCAGCCAUGCCGCGUGUAUGAAGAAGGCCUUCGGGUUGUAAAGUACUUUCAGCGGGGAGGAAGGGAGUAAAGUUAAUACCUUUGCUCAUUGACGUUACCCGCAGAAGAAGCACCGGCUAACUCCGUG